AAAAGCCUUUGGUUUCCGGGUGUGCUUAGACGUUGCAGACAAAACUGAAACUUUAAAAGAUUCAGAAAAUGGACAAUUUUACAUUUACGACUUGUACAAGUGUGAGAAAUCCCAAACCAUAUUUUAAAUCCUUUGAAAAUGACUCAUAUAUUUUAGAAAAAUACCGAAAAGGCUAUACUUUCGGUUUAUAUUUGAAUAGGUUCAUUUCGCAUUUUCGAGAUGAAGACUUUUUCGUGCAUGUUGUAGCAGAGUUGAAAUCUAAUCCUAGUCCAAAAUGCAUUAAAGAUGGAAAAAUUAUACCACAUGACAAUAUUAUAUUGAAAUGGCAUUUUGCGUGUGUUAUAUUAAUUUGGUCUAACAAGGAACAAAUAUUUAAAAGUAGAGGGCUUGGUUAUUAUUAUGGAUCUGGAUUUGUAAUCACAGUGAAUCAUGUUAUUGAGAAUCUUGAUGAUUGUAGUAUACUUGUAAUGUUUCUGCAAUAUGAAUAUACUCUAAUUUAUUUGGCUCAUUGUGCAGAAAGAAAUCUAAACCAGGAUUUGGCUAAAAUUAAAUUGCAAGGUUCUGUGGAUUCUCUUCAAUUCGAAAAUCUAAAAACAAUCACAAAUCAAAUUGUCAUAGGGGACCGCGUUUAUUUUUUUUCCCUGAACGAUCGAGGGGACUUUGAAAAAAAGCAGGGCAAAAUUAUGGCGCAACCUCUCUGCAUAAAAGACACCCAAAAAAACGAAUUAUUCAUUUCUGUUGUAGGUAUUAAAGGAGAUAGUGGAAGUCCUGUUUUUUCCUCAAAAAGUGGAAAACUGCUUGGGCUAUUUAGAGCAGAUUCUACAUCAAUAUGUGAAUUAACAAGAUAUGGCCGUGUUGCAAAAUGUAUCAGUCAUUUUAAAAAUUUUGAUAAAAAGAUAAUAAAAUAGCAAUAAAAAAAGAUUUAAAAAGUUGAUAAUAAAAAUAAAAUAAAAUAAAAUAAAAUAAAAAUAAAAAAUAAAUAAAAAAUAUAUAUUUUUGAACAAUUGAAUCCCCACACCACCAUUGACCCCCACACCAUCAUCUUGUGAUCUGACUGUCAUUGAAAGCUCUAGUAUCAAACUCGGUUCCUGGAGGCUCACUGUCCUGCAGAGUUUGACUCCAAGCCUCAACACACCUGCCUGCAAGUCUUACAAUGAAUAAGUCAAAGGCAGUGUCGAGGCUAAACUCUGCAGGACCGCAGCCCCCCAGGAACCGAGUUUGACACCCAUGUUAAUGACAUGUUUCAGUUCUCACAGCAAGUCUACUUGUAAAAUUGCUCCUUGUCUGGCAACGUCCCGAAGAGAGAUCUUGUGCCUUACCCAAUAUAACAUCUUGGGUUUUGUGUUGGUCUGGAGAUGUUUUGUGUGUUGCAGCCUAGCAGGGUUGAUACUGAAAUUCAACUUGGAUAAAAAUGGUUAUGAAUUGCAUCUUGGACAAAAACAUCAAUGUUUUGAGGAAAUGCAUCUCACUUCAUCUUAACAUCAUGCUGAAAACACCUACAGCCGAACAUCCUCUAGACUGCACUAUGAAUGGCACUACGGGUCAAGCCUCCGACCAGUCAAGUGGUCUCCAUCUCUCUUUGUAUACAUUAUUUUUUUUGUUUUUCGAGAACAUUGCUGAAAUUAAAAAGCAAAGAAAAAUGUCCUGAUGGUUGAGUCAUUAUUGCAUAAUACUAAAAUAAUGUUUGAAUAUUUUAUAUAUGUGAAAUUGAAAUGAUUAAAGACUUCAUGAAACCAAAAUUAGUGUUUU